GAAGGAAAUAUGUGUGGUUGAAUAAGAAUUUAUUAUGCCUCUGACUUAGGGGAGAUGGGCCAUAUUUGUGUCUUUCUACAGAGAGAGGAUGCUUCUCUUCCCAAGUGUUCUUAUGGACUGUUGCUGGGAUCUCCAUCCUACUACUCAGUGCCUGUUUUAUCACUCGAUGUGUUUUGACAUAUCACAUCUUUCAACUCUGUGAUGAGAAGGAGGACCAGCCAUAUGAGCUCAUAGAAUUCAACUGCUACAA